GCUUAUCACCAUUCCAGAUUGAAUAUACCCGAUCUCGUCUGAUCUCGGAAGUCAAGCAAUCUCGGGCUUGGCUAGUACUG
rnacentral:rRNA from 1 species